GGAUUAGCGGCGAACGGGUGAGGAACACGUGAAGAAUCUGCCUUCAACUCUGGGAUAACUCCGGGAAACCGGGGCUAAUACCGGAUAUGAGCCUUGAUCGCAUGAUCGGGGCUGGAAAGUUUUUCGGUUGAAGAUGACUUCGCGGCCUAUCAGCUUGUUGGUGAGGUAAUGGCUCACCAAGGCGACGACGGGUAGCCGGCCUGAGAGGGCGACCGGCCACACUGGGACUGAGACACGGCCCAGACUCCUACGGGAGGCAGCAGUGGGGAAUAUUGGGCAAUGGACGAAAGUCUGACCCAGCGACGCCGCGUGCGGGGUGAAGGCCUUCGGGUUGUAAACCGCUUUCAGUAGGGAAGAAGCGAAAGUGACGGUACCUACAAAAGAAGCACCGGCUAACUAUGUGCCAGCAGCCGCGGUAAUACAUAGGGUGCAAGCGUUGUCCGGAAUUAUUGGGCGUAAAGAGCUCGUAGGUCGUUUGUUACGUCGGAUGUGAAAACCU
rnacentral:rRNA from 1 species